AGACUCCUACGGGAGGCAGCAGUGGGGAAUAUUGCACAAUGGGGGAAACCCUGAUGCAGCGACGCCGCGUGGAGGAAGAAAGGUCUUCGGAUUGUAAAACUCCUGUUGUUGAGGAAGAUAAUGACGGUACUCAACAAGGAAGUGACGGCUAACUACGUGC
rnacentral:rRNA from 1 species